AUGGACUCGCCGCCGAUCCCAGGCGAGCUGCUGGCGGACAUAUUCCUCCGCCUCCCCGACCCUGCCGAUCUCGUGCGCGUCUCCGCCGGCUGCACCUCCUUUCGCCACCUGAUCGCCGACCGCUCCUUCCUCCGGCGCUACCGCAGGCUCCACGCUCCGCCCUUCCUCGGCUUCCUCGACUACAAUCGAGUUUUCCACGCCGUCGUCACGCCACACCCCUCCGCGUCGGCAGCCGGCGCCGUCGCCCUGGCCGCCGACUUCUCCUUCUCCUUCCUACCCGGCCCCGCCUCCGACUGGGCGGUCCAGGACGUCCGCGACGGCCGGGUCCUCCUCGAAAGACACCCCAAGUUCGAAGUCAUCUUCAGGGAGGUGAUAGUGUGCGACCCCUUGCACCGACGGUACCUCCUGCUCCCCCCAAUCCCUGGUGACCUAGCCGAGUCCGUGGACAGCGCACUCUGGACAAAACCGCAGACCUUCCUCGCUCCCUCUGAAGAUGAAGAAGAGGCGUCAUUCAGGGUGAUCUCGAUGGUGCAGUGCCUAACUAAGCUGUUCGCCUUUGCCUUCUUUUCCAACACCGGACAAUGGCGAACCAUUUCAUCCCAGAGCUGGAGCAAUUUGUUUGCUGGCUUGCCAUCAUUAGCAGGGACGACUUUCUUCUCCAGGCGCGAAUACGCGUAUGGGUUGUUCUAUUGGGUGGCUAGUUUGAGGGAAAAGUUGCUGGUGCUUGACUCCCAGAGUAUGGGGUUCUCCAUUGUUGAACACCCACCUGAAGCCAGAGGUAUUCCAGGUGGGGAUAUAGCCGUUGUGGAGGCAGGGGAUGGCAGGCCUGGGAUGUUUGUGCGCACAGAAGACACAAAUUACCUCAACUAUGCCAUUAGGCGAAACGACUUUGGGAGUUCCAGCAAGUGGCAGUUGGACAAGAAAAUCCCGCUGGAUUCCGGGUACUUCUUCUUGGGCUCAAUGGGGAGGCACUUGUUCCUAUAUCACUGCCGAAACCCACCGGUUGAUGCCCGCUGUUUCUCGCUUGACGUCAAGACAUUGAAGCUUGAGAGGGUGUUUCUUUCGAGUUUCUGCAUCACCAGUGUGCAUGCAUAUAGUAACUUCCCACCAUCACUGUUGUCGACGCCGAAAGUAUCAAGUGGUUUUGGAAACAGGGCUGAGAACGAGACACUGGAACAAAGCUUCGCUGCAAGAUCAAGCGCACAGUCACCACGGUCGGAGUAA
rnacentral:rRNA from 1 species